rnacentral:rRNA from 1 species
AUGAAGCUGCGCAUCUCGCUGGCAGAGAUCAAGGCUGGCACCGACAACUUCCAUGAGCGCAACCUCAUCGGCGUCGGUGGGUUCGGGAAAGUGUACAAGGGCACGCUGGGUGACGGCAUGCCCGUGGCGGUGAAGCGCGCCACGAUUGGCUCGCAUCAGGGGCGCAGCGAGUUCAAGGCGGAGAUCGUGGUGCUAUCCUGCAUCCGGCACCAGCAUGUGGUGUCGCUCAUCGGGUACUGCAACGAGCAGGCGGAGAUGAUACUCGUUUAUGAGUACAUGGAGAAAGGGACGCUGCGGAGACACCUGUACGGCUCUGGCGAGCCGGCACUAUCGUGGAAGCAGCGGCUGGAGAUCUGCAUCGGGGCGGCGAGGGGCUUGCACUACCUGCACACAGGCAACUCGCACAACAUCAUCCACCGUGACGUCAAGUCGUCCAACAUCCUCCUAGGAGACAUGGACGGCGGCGUGAUAGCCAAGGUAGCCGACUUCGGACUGUCGUGCUUCGGGCCGUCGCUUGGGGAGACACACGUGAGCACGGCGGUGAAGGGCAGCUUCGGGUACCUGGACCCAGAGUACUUCAGGAGGCAGCAGCUGACAGACCGGUCCGACGUCUACUCCUUGGGUGUGUUGCUCUUCGAGGUGCUCUACGCGCGGCCUGCGAUCGACCCGAGCCUGGCCCGUGACCAGAGCAACAUCGCCGAGUGGGCGGUGAGGAUGCACGGGGAGGGGAAGCUCGACAAGAUCAUCGACCCGAGGAUCUCCGGCGAGAUAAAUGAGAACUCGCUCCGCAAGUUCGCCGAGACCGCGGAGAAGUGUCUGGCUGACAACGGGGCAGACCGGCCGUCCAUGGGCGAGGUGUUGUGGUACCUCGAGUACUGCCUGCAGCUGCAGGAGACGCACGUUGCCACUCGCUCCCCAUCGAUGACGAGCCGAGACGACAAGCCGAGCCUGCUGAUGGACUAG